rnacentral:lncRNA from 1 species
GGCAGGGGACGCCCCUGCCAUUGGCGGUCAGGGCGAGGUGCGGCCCUGCGGGGUCUCGCCCAGGCUCCAGGGCCCUUGGGGUCCCGGAGGGUCCAGCAGAAGGGUCUGUGUUUUGCCCGGGGUCCUGAGAGCGUGCUGGGGAUAGCAGGGGUGGAGUGCAGGUGUGCCCAUGGGCGCCCCGGGUCCAGGGCCCGCGGAGCCGCUCUCGGGGCGGAGACCUUGCCCCCAGGGGCACGUCAGCGGUCCUGAGGUGAGGCUCCUGCAGAGCACUCUGGGCCGCGUGUGUCUCUCCCUGCGUGGGCAGGCAGUGUCGGUGGCCGGAGCGAGGGUGUUUUCCCAUCGGGUGAGGGGGAGAGCCCCAGGGUGGGCCUUGGGGUGGAAUCGGACUCGGGGUUGGGGUGGACUCUUAAGCUGGGAGGGGUGCGGGUGGGCAGGGCCUUAGGGAGCCUGAGGGAGGUGCGGUUCCUGGGGGAAGGGUGUGGCGCCCCAGCGAAGGGGCAGUGCUGGCCACUCGUGUGGCCUUUGGCUGCUGGCACCCAGUGAGAGGGGGGAGGCCAGGGACAGGUGGCAGCCAGGCUGCCCACAGGCCCUGGGCGGUGGGGGGCCCGGCCCCUGUGCCUUGGGCAGCCUGGCCCCUUGCUGAGGCGUGCUUGCGCGUGUCCGUUGUCGCCCUCACCCAGCUGCUGCGGCGGAGAAACGGAGGCCAGCGCGGGGAGCGGAAGCCGGAGCCUGUCGGGAGCGACCCCGGGAAGGCCAGUCCCUCCUGCCGGAGGGAGGCGUGUUGGCGUGCGGCCGGUGGCGGGAUCGAUGGCCACCUGGUAGGCGAUGCUGCUGUGGCGGAGAAACGGAGGCCAGCGCGGGGAGCGGAAGCCGGAGCCUGUCGGGAGCGACCCCGGGAAGGCCAGUCCCUCCUGCCGGAGGGAGGCGUGUUGGCGUGCGGCCGGUGGCGGGAUCGAUGGCCACCUGGUAGGCGAUGGUAAGCGGCAGUGGCCUGCGCCAAGGUAGCCCCCGGGGGCGCCGUGUGUGGCGCCCGGACCCGCACCCUCUGCUCCCGGGGGUGGAGCUGACCUGCUUGCCCGCGGUUGGGCUCGGGAGCCUGCGGGCCGCGGCCAGGAGGGAGCUGGCUGGCCGUCCCGGCGGUGGGGGCUGUGGCGGUGGCCGUCCCGCGGGUGUGCCCGUGCUCGGAUCGAUGAUGACACCCACAAACGCAUU